CACUAGCCUUUUAAGCUAGAGAAAGAGGACUGCCAAACCUCCCUAAUGAC
rnacentral:tRNA from 1 species